rnacentral:rRNA from 1 species
UACAGAGGUCUCAAGCGUUGUUCGGAUUCAUUGGGCGUAAAGGGUGCGUAGGCGGCGCGGUAAGUCGGGUGUGAAAUUUCGGAGCUUAACUCCGAAACUGCAUUCGAUACUGCCGUGCUUGAGGACUGGAGAGGAGACUGGAAUUUACGGUGUAGCAGUGAAAUGCGUAGAGAUCGUAAGGAAGACCAGUGGCGAAGGCGGGUCUCUGGACAGUUCCUGACGCUGAGGCACGAAGGCCAGGGGAGCGAACAGG